rnacentral:snRNA from 1 species
AUAUGUUUGUAGAUAGAGAUGUUAAUAAAAAAAAGAAUCUGUUCUUAUCAGUUUAAUAUCUGAUACGUCCCCUAUCUGGGGACCAUAUAUUAAAUUGACUUUUGGAACAGAGAGAUGAAAUACGGGCUUUCUCGUGCACUUUCUCCUUUAUUGGUAUAAAAAAAGAC